rnacentral:rRNA from 1 species
UACGUAGGGGGCAAGCGUUGUCCGGAAUCAUUGGGCGUAAAGCGCGUGUAGGCGGUCUGGUAAGUCCGUUGUGAAAGUCGGGGGCUCAACCCUCGGAUGGCGGUGGAUACUGUCGGGCUUGAGUACGGAAGAGGCGAGUGGAAUUCCUGGUGUAGCGGUGAAAUGCGCAGAUAUCAGGAGGAACACCAAUUGCGAAGGCAGCUCGCUGGGACGUUACUGACGCUGAGGCGCGAAAGCGUGGGGAGCAAACAGG